rnacentral:rRNA from 1 species
AACGCUGGCGGCGUGCCUCAGACAUGCAAGUCGAACGAUUAAACUUUCCUUCGGGAAAGAUAUAAAGUGGCGCACGGGUGAGUAACACGUAAGUAAUCUACCUUCGAGUGGGGAAUAACAUCGGGAAACCGAUGCUAAUACCGCAUAAUGCAGCGGCAUCGCAAGAUGACAGUUGUUAAAGGAGCAAUCCGCUUGAAGAGGAGCUUGCGGCAGAUUAGCUAGUUGGUAAGGUAAUGGCUUACCAAGGCUACGAUCUGUAUCCGGCCUGAGAGGGCGGUCGGACACACUGACACUGAAUAACGGGUCAGACUCCUACGGGAGGCAGCAGUCGGGAAUUUUGGGCAAUGGGCGAAAGCCUGACCCAGCAACGCCGCGUGAGGGAUGAAGUAUUUCGGUAUGUAAACCUCGAAAGAAUGGGAAGAAUCAAUGACGGUACCAUUUAUAA